GCCAGGAUAGCUCAGUUGGUUAGGGCAUGGUCCUGAUAACGCCAAGGUUGCAGGUUCAAUCCCUGUAAAGGACAGCUGCA
rnacentral:tRNA from 1 species